AGAUUGAACGCUGGCGGCAGGCCUAACACAUGCAAGUCGAGCGGUAGAGAGGUGCUUGCACCUCUUGAGAGCGGCGGACGGGUGAGUAAUGCCUAGGAAUCUGCCUAGUGGGUGGGGGAUAACGUUCGGAAACGGACGCUAAUACCGCAUACGUCCUACGGGAGAAGGCGGGGGACCUUCGGGCCUCGCGCCAUUAGAUGAGCCUAGGUCGGAUUAGCUAGUUGGUGAGGUAAUGGCUCACCAAGGCGACGAUCCGUAACUGGUCUGAGAGGAUGAUCAGUCACACUGGACUGAGACACGGUCCAGACUCCGUACGGGAGCAGCAGUGGGAAUAUGGACAGUGGGACAAAGCCUGAUUCAGCCAUCGCCGCGGUGUGGUGAAGUAAGGUUCUUACGGAGUUAGUAAAGUC
rnacentral:rRNA from 1 species